UACGUAGGGUGCGAGCGUUGUCCGGAAUUAUUGGGCGUAAAGAGCUCGUAGGCGGUCUGUCGCGUCUGCUGUGAAAGCCCGGGGCUUAACCCCGGGUCUGCAGUGGAUACGGGCAGGCUAGAGGUAGGUAGGGGAGAAUGGAAUUCCCGGUGUAGCGGUGAAAUGCGCAGAUAUCGGGAGGAACACCGGUGGCGAAGGCGGGUCUCUGGGCAACAACUGACGCUGAGGAGCGAAAGCGUGGGGAGCGAACAGG
rnacentral:rRNA from 1 species